UACGGAGGGUGCGAGCGUUGUCCGGAAUCACUGGGCGUAAAGGGCGCGUAGGCGGCAUGCCAAGCGUGUGGUGAAAGCCCGGGGCUCAACCCCGGGUCGGCCGUGCGGACUGGCAUGCUCGAGCACUGUAGGGGCGGGUGGAAUUCCGGGUGUAGCGGUGGAAUGCGUAGAGAUCCGGAAGAACACCGGUGGCGAAGGCGGCUCUCUGGGGACGGUACUG
rnacentral:rRNA from 1 species